GCCGCCGUAGCUUAGAUUGGUAGAGCGGCUGACUCGUAAUCAGCAGGUCGGGGGUUCGAACCCCCCCGGCGGCU
rnacentral:tRNA from 1 species